GCGAGGAGAGGCUCUGCGCCUGCGCGGCGGGCCGGCGUGGUCGGUGGGUACCAGUCUCCCAGCCCCGCUGCGGGAGGCGCUUGGGAGGCCGGGAGCCUGGGGCCACCCUGGACAGCCAGCCGGGGGUGGGCGAGGAUGGAGGAUGGAGGAGAAAGCACAUUCUGACCUGUCUGGGAGUUGUACACCCUGGGACCUGGGACUUAACCUUGAAAUGCUGUCCAUUCUUCCGAUCUGAGAGCUGCCUAUCAUCAUGGAAAGAUCAACAACCUUGUUGCCAAAGCAAUGGAGGAGGCACCCAGACCAGCCCUUUGCAACUCCAGCCUCAAUUGCAUGCAAUCUGUAACCAUUGUACCCAUUCUUAUUGUUUUUGCCUACUUCUCCAUGCCUGCAAUCUUUGCCCCUCUACUCAGUAUAAGCAACUUGUUUCCUAGGGGGAAAGGGGAAGCAGAGCAGAUUUUUUGGGGGGACCUGCUACUCUCCCAUAUUACCGGCAAUAUUGGAAAAUAAAUGCUCAUAAACGAUUCAA